rnacentral:rRNA from 1 species
UACAGAGGUCCCAAGCGUUGUUCGGAUUCACUGGGCGUAAAGGGUGCGUAGGCGGUCGGGUAAGUCUGGCGUGAAAUCCCUGGGCUCAACCCAGGGCCUGCAUCGGAAACUGUCGGGCUUGAGUAUGGGAGAGGUGAGUGGAAUUUCCGGUGUAGCGGUGAAAUGCGUAGAUAUCGGGAGGAACACCUGUGGCGAAAGCGGCGCACUGGACCACAACUGACGCUGAGGCGCGAAAGCUAGGGGAGCAAACAGG